AACCGCACAUGAUAAUCAUUUUCCUGUGCGGUUGGGUUAAGUGGACCGCACGGAAUAAUCGAUUAUCCUGUGCGGUC
rnacentral:pre_miRNA from 13 species